rnacentral:misc_RNA from 1 species
AACGCACAUUGCGCCCCUUGGUAUUCCAUGGGGCAUGCCUGUUCGAGCGUCAUUUGUACCCUCAAGCUCUGCUUGGUGUUGGGUGUUUGUUGGGGGGAAGUGCCUCGGCACCUCUGCCCGACUCGCCUUAAAUGUAUUGGCAGCCGGCGUAUUGGCUUAUGAGCGCAGCACAUUUUGCGAUUGUAGCCGCUAUUCUGGCGUCCAGCAAGCCCAAAUUAUCACUUUUGACCUCGGAUCAGGUAGGGAUACCCGCUGAACUUAA